ACAGGCUGAAGAAAGCCUCUAAAGAACAGGGGAAACCUGGAGUUUCCCUGUCGCUUGCCUGCUGCAGUAAAUGGAAAAGCCAUUUGGGCACUUGGCACAAGGCACUGGAAAAUGGUCCCUGGGGUCUGGAUGAUCAUCAUCGCUGAGCAUCGAGUUCCUUUUAUUGUGGACAAACAGGAUAUGACUCAUCAACAGAGGACAGUGUAAUAUCCCAAACAGAACAUCCCACAGGGUACUGACAGCAGCAGCAUUGGGAAGACUAGAUGACGUCACUGAGAUGUGAGAUGAUUCACUUGGACAAGCCUGGAGGACUAUAGAUGAAUUGACCAGCCACGCCAGCACACCGGGAGGCACAGGCUGAUCAUUUGUGCCAAGCACUAAGGACACCUGAAAAUGUUUGAUUUUAUGUUGAAUACUUGUUCCUGCAUUUACCAGUCACACCAGAGAAAACUCCCUUAUCUUGGACAUAAACAGAAUAGCCCAGACUAAAGGAUGGCAGGCAAGCUGUCUGGAUACCCAGUUACUUGACAUGAGUCUCAUUCAAGAAAAGAACUCUUGCUCCAACUCCCAAGUUUGAGUUCAGCUUCUUCUGCCUAUGACAUUCAGUUCACUUCAAGAUGACUUUUGUGGCCUUCUGUUAGUAGCUGCAUUUGACAACUGACCCGAACAGCCCCACACCUGUGUUUAGCCCAACUUCUUCUCUGGCCCCUAGAGACUGUUCCUAGACACCUGGGUCAGUGCUCUGUCUCUGUUCUCUGCAGCUUCACUAAUCCUUUCUUAGUUAUUCUGGAAAAGUCAUAACAGUACAUUACUGUGUAUGAUUUCUAAGUUGAUAUUAGUAAUUAAGAUAUAAUUAAAGAGCCUGUGACUGUCAAUGGCCAGGCCAGCUCUCAAGCAAAAAUCACAGCCAAUGAAACUGAAGUAGCUAUCACAUGGAUUUGCUGCUAUUCCAUGACUUCUGAAAAUGUGGAAAGAGACAAAUAUGCUUAUACUUUUCAUAUAACAUUCUCAGAAUUCUACCACUGAGCUACAUUGAAUAGCCAACCUUUUUUUUUUU